CUUCCCUUUUUCAUCUCACCAGACGUCACACAGCCGUGUAACUGUAAUACAAGAAGUGAAAGAGGCUGAGAGAACAGGCUCAACUUCUAACCCUGAACAAAGGCAAAAAGGAUUUGUCAAGGCGCUACCUCUCUCCCUCUUUCCUCCGCCUCUAAACCCCCCCCCCCCAAAGAAGUGGAGGUGGAGAAAAGCUACCGCCUGGGAUAAUCAGACCAGGCUCACUUUCUGUGGGAGAAGAAGCCAGCUCUCGAGGCUACAGGGCUGUCCUGUUGGAUUAUGUAGGGAUCUGCCUGGAGAAGUCCUGACUCCGAAGCAGAGUGAACAAGAACUACACUGAAAGCUGCAACAGAUAAAACAAAAUGAAGGUAAUAUAAACCAGAAUAAAUCAUUCUGAAAUAUAAGCGUUUUAUUAAAUAUGCAGGUAUUAUUUCUUUCAUUGUGUAUGCAUUUAUGGGAGGAGGGGAAAAAGCCUGUUUAUCAAGGUUUACUUCCUUUUCUGUCAAUAGAACAUUUAAUUGAAUUAUAUCAAAAUCAGGAAGGUAUCCUGUUGAAACUUGUACAUAUAUAAUUGAAUGUUUUUCAUCAGAUUGCUGAGACAGGAGAGAAAUGAUAUUUAUGUUUGGCUUUUCUAAUAAAUUAGAAAGCAGGGCUGCAUGGGAACACUUGUUGUAUAAUUAGGAUUACAGCCCAGUUACUCAAGAAGACAUCUUUAGUUUUAAAAGAAUAACUGCCAUAGCCAUCUUGAGUAAGCUGUGAGUAAUAAAGUGUUCUUUGGUUUUGUUUGUUUUACUUUGAGUCAUUAGAUUGGGCAUAACUUUAUUUAGGCAAAGGCAACAUGAAAGCUCCACCUCGUACAUCUGCUUACUCAUUUGAAGGAUUUUAAUUAUUGAAUUUGUUAGCUCAGUUUUCCCCUAAGUGGCACAUCCACAUAUGUUGGAUUUUGGCUGGGAAUGCUUGGAAAUGAAGUCCAACUCAUCAGGAUUGAUUAUUCUGCAUUGAAAGGAUUUUUUUUUUUUAAAAAAAGAAUCUGAAUGUUUUGGGUAUAUUUAAAAUAUAACUUCACAAGUUUAAAUAAACCUUAAAUGCAAAUUGACAAUAGAAGAUUAAGGACAUUUAGAAACUUCUUGGAGAUGCCCAUGCCCAUAGAGACAGACUGUUAAAAAAAAUAAGAAGUCUGCUGAAUCAAAUCAAAACUCAAGUCUAACAUCCUCUUUCCCAAGGUGGCUAUGAUUCUGUGUGUGCCCCAUGAAAAUUCUGAAUGCUUACUUAAAAUAACUAGCUUGCAUUAUGUUGGAUUUGAGUAUGUAGGUUCUAUAACCAGGGUAGGCCACGUCAUUUUAGGUAGGCCACAUUAUUAAAAAAAUACUUCGAUUUUUAAAAUUAAAAUGAAUGAUUGGGAACUCUUAUGAAAACUUUGAACUUUUUCUGUUGUUGAUUUUUUUUCCAGAACACUCUUUUGUGUCUUGAGAAGUACUUGGACAGCACAGAUGGUCAGCCAUUAGGCCAGUUUUUAUAUACAGCCUAUCUAACCACACAAAAUAAAAAUGUAAGGAAGAGAGGGGUGUACCUUUUAUUAUUUCUAAACCUUUAGAGGAGGUUCUGAAUAGGAAUUGAAUAAUUGGAGCAGUGUUUUGGCAACUUUAAGAUAAGUAGACUUCAACUCCCAGAAUUCCCUAACCAGGCAUGUUAGCUGGGGAAUUCUGGGAGCUGGAGUCCAUGCAUCUUAAAGUUGCCCAAAUUGAGAAACACUGAAUUGGGAUGAUCCAGAAGAAAAACUUUGCAUGAUUCAGGGAAUAAAGAAAGGAAGCAGUGACAUCAGAUCUGGGCAGGUUUACAGUGGGAAAAAGGAGAGCCAAUACCUAGAAGGCACAUUGGAUGAGUGAUCUUGAAGCAGAGAGAGAAAAAAAUAUGUGACUAAAUUGAUAGAAUGUGCCAGGACUGUGGGAUCUGAGAGUUUGUGAAGGCGAUCUUGAAUAUGACAACUGUGGAACCAGUAGUAAGCAGAGGCAGAAGAGGCAAAACUGGUAAUUUUCUCAGAAUGAAGAAGCAAGGGCUCUCCUUUCUUCAAUAUUAUUUUAAUUUUGUCUAGGUUUUCCCCCCUCCUUUCUGAAAAUUUCAACAUUGUAGAGAGUAUAAUAAUGUCUAGGUAGGGCACAUAAAGUCUUAGCGGUUCUUCCACUCAUAAUGUAAUUGUUAAAGCAUUUUAAGGAAAC